rnacentral:tRNA from 1 species
GCUCCAAUGGUGAAGUGGAUGUCACGUUGGUCUCCUAAACCGAAGAGCCAGGUUCGAUUCCUGGUUGGAGCA